UACGGAGGGGGCAAGCGUUAUUCGGAAUUAUUGGGCGUAAAGGGCGCGUAGGCGGCCUGGCAAGUGGAUGGUGAAAUCCCUCGGCUUAACCGAGGAACUGCCAUCCAGACUGCUUGGCUUGAGACCGGGAGAGGUGAGUGGAAUUCCCAGUGUAGCGGUGAAAUGCGUAGAUAUCUGGAGGAACACCGGUGGCGAAGGCGGCAUCCUGGACCGGUAUUGACGCUGAGGCGCGAAAGCUAGGGGAGCAAACGGG
rnacentral:rRNA from 1 species